UACGAGAGGCCCAAACGUUAUUCGGAAUUACUGGGCUUAAAGAGUUCGUAGGCGGCAUUGCAAGUAGGGUGUGAAAGCCCUCGGCUCAACCGAGGAAUUGCGCUCUAAACUGCAGUGCUUGAGGAAGCUAGAGGUGAGCAGAACAGAUGGUGGAGCGGUGAAAUGCGUUGAUAUCAUCUGGAAUACCGGAGGCGAAGGCGGCUCACUGGGGCUUGUCUGACGCUGAGGAACGAAAGCCAGGGUAGCGAACGGG
rnacentral:rRNA from 1 species